UACGUAGGGACCAAGCGUUGUUCGGAUUUACUGGGCGUAAAGGGCGCGUAGGCGGCUUAACAAGUCACUUGUGAAAUCUCCGGGCUUAACUCGGAACGGCCAAGUGAAACUGUCAAGCUAGAGUGCAGAAGGGGCAAUCGGAAUUCUUGGUGUAGCGGUGAAAUGCGUAGAGUAUCAAGAGGAACACCUGAGGUGAAGACGGGUUGCUGGGCUGACACUGACGCUGAGGCGCGAAAGCCAGGGGAGCAAACGGG
rnacentral:rRNA from 1 species